rnacentral:rRNA from 1 species
UACGUAGGGGGCAAGCGUUGUCCGGAAUCAUUGGGCGUAAAGCGCGUGUAGGCGGCCCGAUAAGUCCGCUGUGAAAGUCCAGGGCUCAACCCUGGGAUGCCGGUGGAUACUGUCGGGCUCGAGUCCGGAAGAGGAGUGUGGAAUUCCUGGUGCAGCGGUGAAAUGCGCAGAUAUCAGGAGGAACACCAAUGGCGAAGGCAGCACUCUGGGACGUGACUGACGCUGAGACGCGAAAGCGUGGGGAGCAAACAGG